AAGGAGCAGAAUUACACAUGCCAUGUGCUCCAUGACGGGCUGCCUGAGCCCCUCACCCUGAGAUGGGGUAAGGAGGGUGUGGGUGCAGAGCUGGGGUCAGGGAAAGCUGGAGCCUUUUGCAGACCCUGACCUGCUCAGGGCUGAGAGCUGGGGUCAUGACCCUCACCUUCAUUUCCUGUACCUGUCCUUCCCAGAGCCUCCUCCAUCCACUGUCUCCAACAUGGCGACCGUUGCUGUUCUGGUUGUCCUUGGAGCUUGGCCAUCAUGGGAGCUGUGGUGGCUUUUGUGAUGAAGAGAAGGAGACACACAGGUGGACAAGGAGGGGACUAUGCUCUGGCUCCAGGCAGGGACAGCUCCCAGAGCUCUGAUAU
rnacentral:lncRNA from 1 species